CUUUUACAAUGAAGAGUUUGAUCCUGGCUCAGGAUGAACGCUAGCUACAGGCUUAACACAUGCAAGUCGAGGGGCAGCAUUUUAGUUUGCUUGCAAACUGAAGAUGGCGACCGGCGCACGGGUGAGUAACACGUAUCCAACCUGCCGAUAACUCCGGAAUAGCCUUUCGAAAGAAAGAUUAAUACCGGAUAGCAUACGAAUAUCGCAUGAUAUUUUUAUUAAAGAAUUUCGGUUAUCGAUGGGGAUGCGUUCCAUUAGUUUGUUGGCGGGGUAACGGCCCACCAAGACUACGAUGGAUAGGGGUUCUGAGAGGAAGGUCCCCCACAUUGGAACUGAGACACGGUCCAAACUCCUACGGGAGGCAGCAGUGAGGAAUAUUGGUCAAUGGGCGAGAGCCUGAACCAGCCAAGUAGCGUGAAGGAUGAAGGCUCUAUGGGUCGUAAACUUCUUUUAUAUGGGAAUAAAGUUUUCCACGUGUGGAAUUUUGUAUGUACCAUAUGAAUAAGGAUCGGCUAACUCCGUGCCAGCAGCCGCGGUAAUACGGAGGAUCCGAGCGUUAUCCGGAUUUAUUGGGUUUAAAGGGAGCGUAGGUGGAUUGUUAAGUCAGUUGUGAAAGUUUGCGGCUCAACCGUAAAAUUGCAGUUGAAACUGGCAGUCUUGAGUACAGUAGAGGUGGGCGGAAUUCGUGGUGUAGCGGUGAAAUGCUUAGAUAUCACGAAGAACUCCGAUUGCGAAGGCAGCUCACUAGACUGUCACUGACACUGAUGCUCGAAAGUGUGGGUAUCAAACAGGAUUAGAUACCCUGGUAGUCCACACAGUAAACGAUGAAUACUCGCUGUUUGCGAUAUACAGUAAGCGGCCAAGCGAAAGCAUUAAGUAUUCCACCUGGGGAGUACGCCGGCAACGGUGAAACUCAAAGGAAUUGACGGGGGCCCGCACAAGCGGAGGAACAUGUGGUUUAAUUCGAUGAUACGCGAGGAACCUUACCCGGGCUUAAAUUGCAACAGAAUAUAUUGGAAACAGUAUAGCCGUAAGGCUGUUGUGAAGGUGCUGCAUGGUUGUCGUCAGCUCGUGCCGUGAGGUGUCGGCUUAAGUGCCAUAACGAGCGCAACCCUUAUCUUUAGUUACUAACAGGUUAUGCUGAGGACUCUAGAGAGACUGCCGUCGUAAGAUGUGAGGAAGGUGGGGAUGACGUCAAAUCAGCACGGCCCUUACGUCCGGGGCUACACACGUGUUACAAUGGGGGGUACAGAAGGCAGCUACCUGGCGACAGGAUGCUAAUCCCAAAAACCUCUCUCAGUUCGGAUCGAAGUCUGCAACCCGACUUCGUGAAGCUGGAUUCGCUAGUAAUCGCGCAUCAGCCAUGGCGCGGUGAAUACGUUCCCGGGCCUUGUACACACCGCCCGUCAAGCCAUGAAAGCCGGGGGUACCUGAAGUACGUAACCGCAAGGAGCGUCCUAGGGUAAAACUGGUAAUUGGGGCUAAGUCGUAACAAGGUAGCCGUACCGGAAGGUGCGGCUGGAACACCUCCUUUCU
rnacentral:rRNA from 2 species